GUGCCCGUAGCUCAGCUGGAUAGAGCACAUGCCUUCUAAGCCUGGGGUCGGACGUUCGAAUCGUCUCGGGCGCGCCA
rnacentral:tRNA from 1 species